GAAAGGUCCUGGAGGCUCCAAGUGGGGCCCUCUCCCUCUUGGACUUGUUUUCCACCCUCUGCAAUGACCUUGUCAACUCAGCCCAGGGAUUUGUCUCCUCCACCUGGACAUACUACUUGCAGACUGACAAUGGGAAAGUGGUGGUGUUUCAGACUCAGCCCAUAGUGGAGAGCCUCGGCUUCCAGGGGGGCCGUCUGCAGCGCGUGGAGGUGACCUGGCGAGGCUCCCACCCUGAAGCCCUGGAGGUGCACGUGGACCCUGUAGGCCCCCUGGACAAGGUGAGGAAGGCCAAGAUCCGAGUCAAGACCAGCAGCAAGGCCAAGGCGCUCGGGUCUGCCUCGCUGGAUCCUGGCCUGCUGCCUCUUCCUCUCCGUGCUGGUGAUGCUGUGGCUGAGCUGCUCCA
rnacentral:lncRNA from 1 species